ACUCACCAUCCAUAAUAGGGCCACUGUCGUGCACUGGGGGAGAACAUGAGCACACAAUGGCGGGAAAUUUGAACCGGAUUUUGAACAGCUGAGCGUGGCAGGCGAGAGACAAAUGUAUUUCGUAGAUAGGGUAGAAUGUACAGCAAGCAACAACAACAUCAUCGGUGUAAAUGCUGAGGGAAGUGACAUGUGCUCUCCAAAAAAAAAACAAGACAUCUGACAGAUUUUAUUUUCCUGAUAUUUUUUUACAAUGUGAGACAGCGAAAAGGAUAUAGAAACUUCAGGAAGCUGAUCUCGGGAAAACAUAGUUUGGUGGGAGCCAUGCAGUUUCUCAUUAGCGCAGAAUAGCCUUGUGUAGACUAUAAAAGAUGUAUCCUGAGCCAUGAUUGGAAGUGGGAUAUACCAUCCAUGCGGCGUGGUCAUCGAGGAAUGGAACAUGAGAUGAUGAUCAGGAGAUGAUGCUCAGGAGAUCAUUGAUGGCGGGUGAGGAGGAUAGCAGAUUGUUCUUAUGAGGUAUCCAGCUGUUACAUUGUGAGAUGAGGUCAGACGUCGACGUGUAGGCCUAUCCGCAGUUUUACCAAGAGAAGGAAGAGGGAGUGGACGGUGUACUUCGACCGACGAAUAUAUCUUGCAGAUACUAUGAUUGGAAAUUGUACCCUAUGCAGUCUCAUCACGGUGAGGGGUGAUCAAGGAUCCAGUUAGGCUAUUGGCCUUCUGCCGCCCCGCUAGUCCGAGGAAGUUUACGCGGGAGUUUACGUUACAUGACGGGAAUGUUCCAAAAACGUUAAGGGUUGUUUUACAAUUAAUCAGGAUGCGUUUUUAAGGCCUUCUGUGCAUCAUAAAAUGACAUUAUGUGUAGUGGAUAAUCUCAAAUCUACGAUGGCAAUGGUAUAGGCACUUUUAGAGCAGUUGAGUCCAUGGUUAAAGCAACCUGCAAUAGAACUUCGCGAAAUUAACCUUAGUAUCUUGCAUUUUAGGGAAAACCUACUCUCUCAUGCCCCCCCCCCCCCUCGGCCCAAGCAUAUCGCAUCUCCGUUCUUUUUUGACAAAUCGGAAUUGAUAAUUGAAAUAAGAUUGUUUCAAAACUGAAAAGCCAGAUAACUUGAUUGUAUGCCUUUUAACCCGACAUUGGGCAUUCUGCCCCCAAAGUCCUCUGCUAAUUAGGGAGUUUAAUGCACAUUUAUGCCUUAUUAAGAUUAUAAUAUAUUUUUCUUUGUAAACAUUUUUAUAUUAUAUAAUACAUAUGAAACAAUAAGUGAGGAAAAACAAUAAGUGAGGAAAAACAAUAAGUGAGGAAAAACAUUUUUUUAAUGAAAUUAGACUCACAGCUAUACUCUGAUUGUAAAAACAAUCAUCGAUCCUUAUAUUAGUGUGGAGAUCAGUGAAUUUACUGGAACAAAAUUGAUCAACCAAAUCGGCACAUCUUCCUUUCACGAAUGCGGCAGAAUUAUACUCCGUGAUAUUUUUUUCCCACAUUUUAAUGGCGUUAUUCAGACAUAAUAAUAUAAAAAACGAAAACGAGAUAACAUAAAAACUUUGUCUAUCUUGCGUGCAGGAAAAGUUUCAUUUUAUACUUGACCUAUAUGCUGACUGAAUUUUAGGUAUCGUGUUAAGGCCUCCGCACUCUUUAUAACCUGUCCAUGAUCCGAUUUUGGAACAAAUCCAUUGCUUAUAUUCUGAUAAUGUGGACGGAAAGUACUGUAUGUUUUUAUUCGAGGUUUAAAUUAACUAUUAGCACAUCAAUUUUGGAUGAUUGCAAGCGUUUAUAAUUAUUUUGAAGUAAAGACCACCUUAGUUUCAAAUCCUAGUCAAUCGUAUGAUAGCUGUGACGUCAUUACGAAUAAAUAUUUCGCUUUUAAUCUAAUAAGGAUGGUAGCAUAGUUACAGAUUUGAAUACAUGUACAAGUAUUUGUACACCGAUUUAGACAAUUUUAAACAUUAAGAUGUUCCAUGUCUCAGUUAAUAUUCGCGAACCAAUUGUACUACGUUCUAUUACGAAAUCAGGUCGAAGACCAAUCGUAAGGUUUGAGUGUCUUUACGGUUUUAACCUCUUGAGGGGAAGGUUUUCAUUUACCAUCACAUGGGUUUUGAACGUUGGUGGUUCACGAAAUUAAGUGAGGAAGUAUAGAAUAUUAAACAUAUAUCAAGAUAUCUAUGGCCCAUAUCCUUUCCCCCUCUCGGAUGAAAAUUCAUAUAAUAAAGAGGUAAAAAUCUUUGAUGAGGCAAACAUUUCAACAGACCCUUAGAAUGGGUUACAUUUUAGAUAUUCAUUCCUGCGAAGUAAGAAACAAUGUAUUUGUGAACGAUUUAUUAAUGAAUUAACAGAAUUGUACUGAAAGCCCAGUUUGCCAAUUUCUCAUUUGACUGUUUGAAAGUAUUUUGAAGGGCAAGUCCACCCGAACAAAAAUGGUUGUGAAUGAAUAGAGGAACAAUCAAAUCAAAAUCAAAAUUUUAUAAAAAGCAGGUGUAAAAUAAAAAAGUUAUGAAAUUAUGAAUUUUCGCUUAUUUUUACGAAAGAAUUAAAUUGCACCAAUGUAUUUUCUAAAAUAUGAAACAGGUUAUUCUAAUUUUCCACAGAUUUGACAAAGCAUUUUCGUUGAAUCAAACUAGAUUGCAACUAUGGCAAUCACAUACAAGAAGAAAUCAAACCUAGUUUCACGUCAUAAUAAGGAAAAUAUAUGAAGAUAUUUCAGAAUUCACAUGAUGAUGAUAAAAUACAAAGAAAUGGUGUUGGUGGAGUCAUCAGUUGCCUCAUUUGCAUACUGACCAGAAUUGACAUAA